rnacentral:rRNA from 1 species
UACAGAGGUCCCGAGCGUUGUUCGGAUUCACUGGGCGUAAAGGGUGCGUAGGUGGUGAUGUAAGUCGGAUGUGAAAUCUCCGGGCUCAACCCGGAAAUGGCAUUGGAAACUACCUUGCUGGAGGAUUUGAGGGGGGAUUGGAAUACUUGGUGUAGCAGUGAAAUGCGUAGAUAUCAAGUGGAACACCAGUGGCGAAGGCGAAUCCCUGGAAAAUACCUGACACUGAGGCACGAAAGCUAGGGGAGCAAACAGG